rnacentral:rRNA from 1 species
GACAGCAGCAGCCGCGGUAAUACGUAGGUGGCAAGCGUUGUCCGGAAUUAUUGGGCGUAAAGGGCUCGCAGGCGGUUUCUUAAGUCUGAUGUGAAAGCCCCCGGCUCAACCGGGGAGGGUCAUUGGAAACUGGGAAACAUGAGUGCAGAAGAGGAGAGUGGAAUUCCACGUGUAGCGGUGAAAUGCGUAGAGAUGUGGAGGAACACCAGUGGCGAAGGCGACUCUCUGGUCUGUAACUGACGCUGAGGAGCGAAAGCGUGGGGAGCGAACAGGAUUAGAUACCCCCGUAGUCCCUGUCUCUUAUAC